rnacentral:lncRNA from 1 species
UCAUUUUUCCUUCAUUCUCACAACAUUUAGCAUUCUCAACGGUUGGUUAUCGUGAAAGCUAUGUUUUAUCAUAAGAACUGAGAACGCUGCAGUAAGCGUAUAAAGUUGUUGCAUUUUCUAUGAAAUUAACUGCACCCGAAAAAAAUGAAAAAAAAUAUAUGAAAUUUUCACCCAUCAUGUGAUUCGAUCCCAAGUGGUGCAUUCAUCCAUCAAGAUGAUGCAUUCACCAUAGAUCUUAGUCAUCGAAGUGCUGAAAAUAGCUCUCACGUUCACACUUUAAAUAGGGUUGUCAUUUGAACCUCCUCCUAUAUGGCGUUGGGUUGUAAUAAAAUUUGAUUUUUUGUAAAAAC